rnacentral:rRNA from 1 species
GACGAACGCUGGCGGCGUGCUUAACACAUGCAAGUCGAACGAAGAGCGAUGGACGCUUGCUUCUAUCAAUCUUAGUGGCGCACGGGUGAGUAACGCGUAAUCAACCUGCCCUUCAGAGGGGGACAACAGUUGGAAACGACUGCUAAUACCGCAUACGAUCUAAUCUCGGCAUCGAGGAUAGAUGAAAGGUGGCCUCUACAUGUAAGCUAUCACUGAAGGAGGGGAUUGCGUCUGAUUAGCUAGUUGGAGGGGUAACGGCCCACCAAGGCGAUGAUCAGUAGCCGGUCUGAGAGGAUGAACGGCCACAUUGGGACUGAGACACGGCCCAGACUCCUACGGGAGGCAGCAGUGGGGAAUCUUCCGCAAUGGACGAAAGUCUGACGGAGCAACGCCGCGUGAGGGAUGACGGCCUUCGGGUUGUAAAGCUCUGUUAAUCGGGACGAAAGGCCUUCUUGCGAAUAGUGAGAAGGAUUGACGGUACCGGAAUAGAAAGCCACGGCUAACUACGUG